rnacentral:rRNA from 1 species
UACGUAGGGUGCGAGCGUUGUCCGGAAUUACUGGGCGUAAAGAGCUCGUAGGUGGUUUGUCGCGUUGUUCGUGAAAACUCACAGCUUAACUGUGGGCGUGCGGGCGAUACGGGCAGACUGGAGUACUGCAGGGGAGACUGGAAUUCCUGGUGUAGCGGUGGAAUGCGCAGAUAUCAGGAGGAACACCGGUGGCGAAGGCGGGUCUCUGGGCAGUAACUGACGGCUGAGGAGCGGAAAGCCCAGGGGAGCGAACGGG